UGCCUUAGGGUAAUGUUAAGUCCCUGGCAAUGAACGGGGGAAGGGGAUUUACCUUUUUUCUGCUUGUAUCUUCGUUUGCAGUAGUCUGUUUUAAUACUGAAGUUAUAUUGAAUGAAUGAUAGUACUUGUCAUCCUGUGGAGAUAGCCCCAUGGAGACAGGAGAAUGUGCAGCGAGUAGUGGAAAGAUCAUGCAUGAAAUUUAGUCAGACAGUCCUGCCUUUAACUUAAAGUUCCUCUGGGCAAGUGAUUGUGAUCAAAUUACUUACUAUUUCUGAACUGCAAUUUCUCAUCGGUAAAAUGUAGAUGGUAACAGCUACCCAACUGACCGAAAUUUUGUGGAGAUUAAAUGGGGUGUUUGUGAAACCAUCGAACCCGUUGCCAGAGACCAAGGUCUUGCUCUUUCACCUAGGCUGGAGUGCCGUAGUGUGAUUAUAGCUCACCGCAGCCUUGAACUUCUGGGCUCAAGCUAUAUUUACAUCUCAAUCUACUGAGCACCUGGGACUACAGGCAUGCACCACCACAUCUGGCUAAUUUUUUAAUUUUUAUUUUUUUAGAGAUGGGAUCUUACUUUGUUGCCCAGGCUGAUCUAAAACUCCUGAGUCCAGGCGAUCCUCCCACCUUAUCCUCCCAAGUAGCUGGGAUUACAGCCUUGAGCCUGGCAAUUUUGUCAUUUUAUUUCUAAUAAUUAAAAAAAAUUCCCAAGUUAUUUAAAGGAUAAUUUUCAGGUUUUCCCAAUGAUUACAAUUUUUUGUUCGCUUAUCUGUUAAUUAUUAGCUUCUGAAUUUGUUUAAUUAUAGUCAAUUAGCAUGACCUGUAAAAUACUAACUUUUUAGAAAAAAACAUAUGUGGCCAAGUACAUGAUCCCUAUUUUUAAAUCUCCUAUGGGAAUAAAGAAUAUAUUUUCCUUUUUAGUGUACAUGGUUCUCUUUCUACAUAUCUAUUAAAUCAGGAUUGAUAAUUAUGCUGCCAAAAUGAUGUCUAUACUUGUUCCUUCUUUUGUCUGUUUAAUCUACAAAAUUUGAAGAGUGGUGUUUUGGAUUCUCACUGUGCUUUUUUUUUUUUUUAAUUGAAUUUGCCUUGCAUUUC
rnacentral:lncRNA from 1 species